UACAGAGGGGGCCAGCGUUAUUCGGAAUUAUUGGGCGUAAAGGGCGCGUAGGCGGCCAUGCGUGUCUUCCGUGAAAUCCCUCGGCUUAACCGAGGAACUGCCUCCCAAACUGCUUGGCUUGAGACCGGGAGAGGUGAGUGGAAUUCCCAGUGUAGCGGUGGAAAUGCGUAGAUAUUGGGAGGAACACCAGUGGCGAAGGCGGCUCACUGGACCGGUACUGACGCUGAUGCGCGAAAAGCGUGGGGAGCAAACGGG
rnacentral:rRNA from 1 species